ACAGGAAAUGCCAUGUGAGAACACAUUAGCAAAGGAAGCAUUUAUUUCCAAGCUUGGUAUCCCAAGGAAUGGUAUAGAUGAAUGUAUAUGAAUCUUCCAUUGGCAUUCCCUCACCCAAGGCUGUAUGGAUCACAGACAGCUUAUUAAACAAGAUACGAAAGCAAAUGGUGGUAUUUUAGAAGACAUCUUUCUAGCACUCCAAAGUCAUGGAUUCCUAGGAUUAAAAGUGUCCUUGAGAGGUCAUUCUGGUUAACCUCUGUAGAUUCAGUUUCAUUCAAUAAACGCAAUGAGCCCCUAGAAUGUGACAGGCAUCAGGCUAGGAUUAUUGGUGGGGGCAUGUGUGUUUGGGACAUAGGCUUAUGAAAAAAAGAAAAAGAAGAAAAUAUCUGCCAUCAAGGAGUUUAUAUGCUGGUGGAAGAGCUAUUUGGGUACCCUUAGACUGAGGCAAGUGCGACGAGGUCGAUGUGAAUAAAAUACUCUAGGAGCAGUUUAGGAGGAGAACAUGUUAUUAGCCUGGGCAGCAGGGACCCAUUCAUAAAGAUGAGCUCAUUUUCAUUUCACUCAUUGAUCAAAAUCUAUUGACCAUCUUCUAUUUGCCAAAACCCUGUGCUAAGCAUUUUGGGGAUGCUAAAUACAAUAAUCAUGAUGCCCUCAUAGGCCCAAAGUCUAACAAAGAUGGCUGGAAAUUGCAGUGUCGUAAGUAUUCUUAAAUGUUGUUGUGUUUCCCUUCUUCAGAUAGACCUAUGUGUAGCUGCCCUGGAAUGCCUGUGGGAAGAGAUGACCCAAUACAAGCGAGAGAAUUGCCCAAUUUUGGAUUCCUCUUUCUCAAGUUGGAAAGAUAAGACUUCUCAAGACACCAAGUGUUGGAGUUGCCAGCAGUUAAUUCCACCCUUUCCAAGAAAGGUAUAAUGAUCCUGCUUUUGGUGAGUAUGAAAUCCGGAGACAAAUGUGGACAUGUUUUAACACUAAUCCUUGGUCAUCUCAGAAGCAAAAGAAAAAUGUUCUAAGGAUAUGUACAAUUAAACCUAGGGGUAGUCACACACACACAGAGUCUCAAGGGGUUGAUAAUACCACAGGAAUUUGGCCAUGAUUUUCGCUUGCCUGUUACGUAUAUGGGUUACUGUGUAAAGGCAAAGCCAUUGGUCCAAGUUCAUGCUGGGUUCAGAAGCACAGUAUUGAGAGAUAAAAACCUCAAAGAAGUGGGAAACAAAUUUUUGGAUAUGACCCACCUUACCAGAUUUUAAGGUAAAUGUACAUAUAAGUAUUAUGGAAAUUAUGGGUAAGAUGUUAUCACUCAGGAUGGAGUCCUGGAGACCAGAACUGAACAUGGGACUAGUCAGUAUUGAUCUUUGGGCAAAGUGCAAAGGAGAUCUGGUGUCCAAGUCCUGAGAAAGGGAGAUGAGGAAGCAAAGACUGCAAAGUCCAAGGGCACAAUUAGAGAGGACACAGGGAAGAGAAUCCAAAGGCAGGACC
rnacentral:lncRNA from 1 species